UACGUAGGGGGCGAGCGUUGUCCGGAAUCAUUGGGCGUAAAGAGCUCGUAGGCGGUUCUGUAAGUCAGGUGUGAAAGCUCCGAGCUCAACUCGGAGAGGCCACCUGAUACUGCUGUGACUAGAAUCCAGUAGGGGAGUGUGGAACUCCUGGUGUAGCGGUGAAAUGCGCAGAUAUCAGGAAGAACACCAGCGGCGAAGGCGGCACUCUGGGCUGGAAUUGACGCUGAGGAGCGAAAGUGUGGGUAGCAAACAGG
rnacentral:rRNA from 1 species